rnacentral:rRNA from 1 species
GACGAACGCUGGCGGCGUGCUUAACACAUGCAAGUCGAACGGAAAGGCCUUGUCUGAGUUACUCGAUUGGCGAACGGGUGGGUAACACGUGGGUGAGCAUCCCUGCACUCUGGUUUAAGCCUGGGAAACUGGGUCUAAUACCGGAUAGGACCGCGCUUUAGUGUGUGUGUUGGGAAGGGUUUUCGGUGUAGGAUGAGCCCGCGGCCUAGCAGCUUGUUGGUGUGGUAAUGGCCGACCAAGGCGGCGACGGGUAGCCGGACUGAGAGGUUGGUCGGCCACCUUGGGACUGAGAUAAGGCCCAGACGCCUACGGGGGGCAGCAGUGGGGAAUAUUGCACAAUGGGGGCAAGCCUGAUGCAGAGACGCCGCGGGGGGGAUGACGGGCUUCGGGGUGUAAAAUCGUUUCGCCAGGGAAGAAGCGUUUUGUGACGGUACCUGGAGAAGAAGCACCGGCUAACUACGUG